GGGAAAUGAAAAUUUUAUUGAAUUGUGACUGAACCUAUAGGGUUGCCUACGUAUCCCUUCUUAAUCGCGAAUAAGGUCAAGCGUAGUUCAAAAUACAUCAUAUAGGGAAUCCAUAAAGAUUACACAUAAUAAUGCUUGAUAUCUGAAUUAAUCAGCUUUGGCUAGACUUCUCCGUUUAUUUCUGCAAGUAUGAGGGCUCCUCCUAUUAAAAUUCCGGUGAACCAUGUAUGGACCCUUCCAAUUGGGAGAGAACUUCCCUUUGGCUUCAUCCUGAUGCAGAAAAUUUUUAUUUAACAUUAGCUGCCUUGGUGUGCAUUGUCUGGGCGUGACACCCUUGUUUAAGGAUCUGGACAUUCUGUUCUUAUAGAGUUGACCAUAGCUAAUCGCAUUCAUUCUCUUUCCAUCUAUAAGAGCUAGCUCUUGUGUUUUUGUCGUGUGUUUGAAAGAAGAGGGAUGCAUGGUAAUUAUAGCUUUUUGAAAAUGAGUGUAGGAAGUUAAUAAAUAAAGUUUUAGUACAAAUAUAGAAACAAUCUCCAGUUAGAAUCAGUUAACCAAGUGACUUCCUUUAAUUAAGGAAUCACUGUUUAACGGGUAGUAACAUAGUCAAAUAAGGAAAGAAAGACGUUUAGAAACAGACUGAUUAUUGCCAUUAAAGAAGUAGUAAAGAUAUUAAAUAAGCAAUCGAGUCUAUGUACAGAAAUAUGCUUAUUUUGAAAAUAGAUUCAACAAUGUAAAUAUUACUAUAAUGGGAAAAAAAUCAAUCAAUUUUGAACGGCUGAGUGAAAUCAAGGCUCAUAAAAAGGGAAACUUUAGAAAUCAGUCACAAGACCAAGAUCAAUCAAAGAAGAGGCUUCAGCAUAUAAAUAAAGUGAACAUGGUCAUCAGACAUGCGAGGCCAACAUAGUGACAAAAGAGAUAAUCGCAAACAUGCAGUAGUGGCAUAAAUAAGCUAGGGUUCACUAGUAAAGCAAACAUUUGAAGCACAUUAAUCAAGUAGGUCGAUUUACAUUGAAUCAAUAGGGAAGAAAACAGAGCAUCAUAAACAUGCAAAGGUUUCAUAGUAGCAGGUGAGGAAAUCCUUUCUUAAAAAUGGUUAGGGUUUCAAUCAUAGUCGAGUUGACAGAUAGUAAAAUAAGAUAAGUCACGUAAAGAAAGAAAGUCUAUAACAAAAGCUUUCAGUCGAGUCAAGUACUCAAACAAAAAAUUUUAGACCAAGAAGACAUAGGGUUUUCAACGAUAAUCAAUUCUAAAAGAUGAUAAACAAAUGAAUCAAACAAGUACUAGCAAACCGUUUCAGAACUCGAAUAAGACCACAAAAAAUCUGGGGUUUUAGUAUGCUGAAACAAAUAAAAGAACAACAUGAUCAAAACUUAGCAAAAUCAUAAACAAGUUAAAAUCAGAGAUCUUUGAAAACAAAACUUAAAGGAAGAUCCUAAUCGGAGAAGAUGAAGGGUUAUUUUGAAAGAAAGUCGAGAAACUUUCGACAAAACACUUAAAAGUUUAGUAGCAAGUACAGAUCUAAAGUAGAUCUAGAAGAAAAAUCAAAAUAUCUUAAAGGUUAGGGUUUCGAAAGACCCAGAAAGGUGAGAAAUGCCUUGAAAGGUUAUCGAUCUAGCCGGAAAAGUCACAGAUCUUACUCGAAUAACCGUGGAUGGCUGGAAAUGGCAUAGGAGGAAAUGAGAGGCGAGUGAACCACCUCUGGUUCACUUGAGGGCCUCAAAAUGAUGACACAUGACGAAGAUAGAACCAUAAGACUGGUAGGUGGCGAAAACACCAUGGAUUCAAGCUGGAGAAAGUGGGUGAAGUCAUCUGAGAGGAGCGGAAGUGGAAAGGUUCUAGAGAGAAACAGUGAGAGAGAGGGGGGUGGUAGAGAGACGAGAG
rnacentral:lncRNA from 1 species